UAAAUACACGAAAUAAAUUGAGCUAUUAAAUAAUAUAUAUUAGUAUUAAGAAAUAUAUGUUGUAAUAUAUAUUUAAAAUAUUUUUAUAGGGGUGAUAGGCCUAUCACAAUUUAUUAUAUCUUGAUGAUUAUUAAAAGUAUUAAGUACUUAAUACAAUUAAUAAGUGAUAAGAUUUAUUAAAGAAAUAAAAUUUAUUUAUAUCUUAAUUAUUGAAUAAUUAAUUUUUACAAUAUUUUUAAUUUAAUAUAAUUAAUAAAUUUAAUUAUUUUAUUAGAUAAUCUAUUAAAAUAAAUUAUUGGUUUUUAUAAUUAAUGUUAAUAUAAGUAAUUAAAUUUUAAAAGAAAUUUAUUUAAGGAACUCGGCAAAAAGUUUAUUCAACUGUUUAUCAAAAACAUAGCUUAAUGAUAAGUUUAUAUUAAGUGAAUUCUGCUCAAUGAUAAAUUAAAUAGCCGCAGUACUUUGACUGUGCAAAGGUAGCAUAAUAAAUUGGCUUAUAAUUGAAGUCGGGAAUGAAUGGAUUAAUGAAUAUAAACUGUCUUAUCUAAAUUUUAAUUAAUUUUCUUAGUAAGUGAAAAUUCUUACAAUGUGUUUUAUUAGACGAGAAGACCCUUGAAAUUUUUAUAAAUAAUAAUUUAUAAUUAGUGUUGUUUAAAUUUUUGUUGGGGCGACAAAUUUACAUAGAACUAAAUUUAUUUAUGUAUAUUAUAAUACAAAUUUUAUUAAAUUAAAUUAAAUUACUCAAGGGAUAACAGCAUAAUUUAUUAAUAAGUUUGUGACCUCGAUGUUGGACUAGGAAACUUUAAGUUUAGAAGAUUUAAAGUAAAGUUCUGUUCGAACUAUUUUUUCCUACAUGA
rnacentral:rRNA from 1 species